UGAUCUCUCCGACAACAAACUAGAAAAAUUGUCCUUCAAUUCGUUCUCAGGGACCACCCUUGCAGUUUUGUAUCUGAAACGCAAUCUGCUGACCGAGGUAAACAUGGCUCUCCUACCGAGGACAAUCUUUUUCAUAGAUUUUGGCUUCAAUCGCGUGACUACGUUUCGUGCGGGUCGAAUCAUCAUGUGUUCUUGGACAUUCCUGU